CUGUCUCCUCCUCGCCCAGCGCGGCUGCUCCGCCCCGCGGAUCCGCGGCCCCGGGCAGGUGAAAGCGCCACGUCCCCCGCCGGCGGGAUCUGCCCGGGAGCAGGUCGUACCAAUCAUCAGAACUACAGUUGAAGAGAGGUGAAUGAAUCGGGGAACUCAUGGUAUGCAGCUGUGGCAUGCAUGCAGGCAAGCAGAUGGAGAGGUGCAGCUCCCUUGGUCUGGUGCGCUGGACAAAACAAGUUUCUGCCACUGUGCAGAACGUCCUCCUUUCGCAAAGAGCUGAGUUCAGGGCACAAGGUCCUCUAAGGGAAGGGAAGGUGAAUGUUUUAUUCUACCAGGAGCCAUUUGUGCUCUAAAACAGAAGGAGCUGGGGCUUGGGUGAUAAACAUGCCCUGUAGUUUGUGGGCAGGAGUGUGUGAUACAAGAACAGACUGGGAUCUACGCUGAAAGGUACAAAAGACUCCAAAAUCAGCACUGCCUUGGUCAAGUUUUCACUUCUGCACUCUGGCUCUCUUAAUGGAGGUGGAAAGGUAUGUCUCAGUCAAGCUGAGCCCUGGAAUUACAACAGCACUAGUCAAGGACCAAAAGACUAUCCAAGUUCAAAGGGAGUGAUAUGCCAUAUAAUCAAAAGGUUGCCCUCGGCAAAAUUCUACACUAAAACAUAAUGCGUCCUUACAACAUAAUCUCAAAUCCUUCACUUGUGGUCCAUGUAGGCAUCUACCAGCAUAUUCAGAGAGCCAGGCUGAGGAGUCCCAGGCUGACCUGUCUGAUGGACUCCGUCCCAAAAUGUUUCUUCACAUUCUGUCCGAGGAUAUAAAAAGUAAUGUGUCUGGCACAACCUUUAUGAAGUAGCCUGAGGUGGGAAUAUUACAUGAGCUUUUGUGCACAGAUCUAGUGCAUAGAUGGAUAAGCUGCACUGUUCAGGGAACCACGUUCAGACCAGUUCAUGAUCUCUCAAGUAGCAUAAGUGUACAUGGCCCGGCCUAGACAUGCAUCGGACUUGAUAGAGUCCUAUAGUGGAGAAUACAGAACUGAUUGCUGAGCAGCUCUGCAGAAGCCACCUUGGGUCUGGCGAGGCCAGCAGUGAACUCUAGGAAGUAAUUCCCAGCUGGUGCCAGGCUAGGUCAGGUGGAGACAGUAAACUGAUUCCUCGAUCACACUCCCUUCUCUUACACAUAGAGCUGGCAUUACUGAGCACCUUGAGUCACAGAGAACAGGCUGCAUGCUUUCAAAGUGCCAACACACAAAUAAAGCAAUGCAAUUACACUCUGGCCUAUUGAUGUGUCAUGAAAUCAGAGGUUUUCAGACUGUAGUCACAGUGUGAUAUAGGAUCACGUUUCGCACAAAAAUAAAAUUAGGGGAGUUCAUUGUCCUAGGGUCACUUUUCCACGUAUAGAGUUUUUUAGUUGCUUUGGGUUUUGCAAGUCAACCUCCACCACUGGUCUUUCCAGUGCUUAAAACUACCUUGAAAUUGUACUGUUUUCUGCUGUAACAGCAGUAGAAACUGCUAAGCAGUAGCUACGUUUCUCCUGAAAUGUAGUUAUGGUUUUGGAAUGAGUUCAAUCCAUCUGUGCUCAAACCUCAGUGGAACCAUCUUCAGAGUAAAAAAAAUCUGAUUAAAAUUAUUUAAUCUAC